rnacentral:rRNA from 1 species
GCAGCAGCCACGGGAAUACGUAGGUGGCAAGCGUUGUCCGGAAUUAUUGGGCGUAAAGGGCUCGCAGGCGGUUUCUUAAGUCUGAUGUGAAAGCCCCCGGCUCAACCGGGGAGGGUCAUUGGAAACUGGGAAACUUGAGUGCAGAAGAGGAGAGUGGAAUUCCACGUGUAGCGGUGAAAUGCGUAGAGAUGUGGAGGAACACCAACGGCGAAAGCACUCUGCUGGGCCGACACUGACACUGAGAGACGAAAGCUAGGGGAGCAAAUGGGAUUAGAGACCCCGGUAGUCCCUGUCUCUUAUAC